rnacentral:tRNA from 1 species
GAGGGUAUAGCUCAAGUGAUAGAGCACAUGCUUAGCAUGCACGAGGUCCUGGGUUCAAUCCCCAGUACCUCCA